AUAUUGGACAAUGGGGGAAACCCUGAUCCAGCAACGCCGCGUGAGGGAUGAAGGUCUUUGGAUUGUAAACCUCUUUUCUCAGGGAAGAGAUAGGACGGUACCUGAGGAAUAAGUCACGGCUAACUACGUGCCAGCAGCCGCGGUAAUACGUAGGUGGCGAGCGUUAUCCGGAAUUACUGGGCGUAAAGCGCACGCAGGCGGCCAUUUAAGUCUGACGUGAAAGCUCCCGGCUUAACUGGGAGAGGUCGUUGGAAACUGGGUGGCUUGAGACAAUGAGAGGGGUGUAGAAUUCCUGGUGUAGUGGUGGAAUGCGUAGAUAUCAGGAGGAAUACCAGUGGCGAAAGCGGCACCCUGGCAUUGGUCUGACGCUCAUGUGCGAAAGCGUGGGGAGCGAACGGG
rnacentral:rRNA from 1 species